rnacentral:lncRNA from 1 species
ACAAUUAGCAAAAGAUACAAAACAGAACCGCCUCCAAACAGAUCUAUAUCAGAUACCAAUAGAUUGUAUGCAGAUUACUGAUAAGAACACAAUCACAAGGUUCACCGACCAUGUCUUUAAACGAUAAAUAAGCAACAAAACACUCGUCUUAAUGCAUUAGAAGAUCCAACAUACUAAGAGAACAUUUCAACUUUUGUGCUUCUGCCCAACCAAAAUACCAGCAUCCACCACAGCCCAAUCACAUGAACAGGUUCGGCCUCGUCGCCUUGUAGGUGGUCUUCAGCUUCCUGGUUGGUGGCCUGACCUUUUGGUACACAAGGGGGAACUUGAUCUUGGAGUUGUGGAACUGCUUGGUGUUGUCUCUCUUGCAUAGCUUGAAGUUGACAGUCGCGGUCUUGAUGAUCUGAA